UCUGGCUUAUAGCCAAGCGGUCUUAUUAGAGUGCCCAACUUAAUGAUGGUAACUAAUAAUACGGGUUGCGCUCGUUGCGGGACUUAACCCAACAUCUCACAACACGAGCUGACGACAGCCAUGCAGCACCUGUCUCCGAGUCCCCGAAGGGAACUCCUGGUUUCCCAGGAUAGCCCGGGAUGUCAAGUCUAGGUAAGGUUCUUCGCGUAGCAUCGAAUUAAACCACAUGCUCCACCGCUUGUGCGGGCCCCCGUCAAUUCCUUUGAGUUUUAAUCUUGCGACCGUAAUCCCCAGGCGGAAUACUUAAUGCGUUAGCUUCGUUACUGAGACAAUUAGGUAUCCCAACAACUAGUAUUCAUCGUUUAGGGCGUGGACUAC
rnacentral:misc_RNA from 1 species